GCUUUCGUUGUGCAACGGUAGCACACUCGGCGCAUAUUCGAGAGGUCCAGGUUCGAAUCCCAGUGAAGGCA
rnacentral:tRNA from 1 species